ACGGGAGGCAGCAGUGGGGAAUAUUGCACAAUGGGGGAAACCCUGAUGCAGCGACGCCGCGUGGAGGAAGAAGGUCUUCGGGUUGUAAACUCCUGUCGUUAGGGACGAUAAUGACGGUACCUAACAAGAAAGCCACGGCUAACUACGUGCCAGCAGCCGCGGUAAAACGUAGGUGGCAAGCGUCGUCCGGAAUUACUGGGUGUAAAGGGAGCGCAGGCGGGUCGACAAGUUGGAAGUGAAAACUAUGGGCUCAACCCAUAGCCUGCUUUCAAAACUGCCGAUCUUGAGUACUGUAGAGGUAGAUGGAAUUCCCGGUGUAGCGGUGGAAUGCGUAGAUAUCGGGAGGAACACCAGUGGCGAAGGCGAUCUACUGGGCAGCAACUGACGCUGAGGCGCGAAAGUGUGGGGAGCAAACAGGAUUAGAUACCCUGGUA
rnacentral:rRNA from 1 species